GACGAAGGAUGCAAGCGUUAUCCGGAUUCAUUGGGUUUAAAGGGAGCGUAGGCGGAUUGGUAAGUCAGUGGUGAAAUCUGUGGGCUUAACCCACAAACUGCCAUUGAUACUGCUGAUCUAGAGUACAGUUGCCGUUGGCGGAAUAUGACAUGUAGUGGUGAAAUACUUAGAUAUGACACAGAACUCCGAUUGCGAAGGCAGCUCACUAAACUGUAACUGACGCUGAGGCCCGAAAGCGUGGGGAUCAAACAGG
rnacentral:rRNA from 1 species